rnacentral:rRNA from 1 species
UACGUAGGGUGCGAGCGUUGUCCGGAAUUACUGGGCGUAAAGCGCACGUAGGCGGAUAUUUAAGUGAGGGGUGAAAUCCCAGGGCUCAACCCUGGAACUGCCUCUCAUACUGGGUAUCUCGAGUUCGAGAGAGGUGAGUGGAAUUGCGAGUGUAGAGGUGAAAUUCGUAGAUAUUCGGAAGAACACCAGUGGCGAAGGCGGCUCACUGGACUGGUAUUGACGCUGAGGUGCGAAAGCGUGGGGAGCAAACAGG